rnacentral:rRNA from 1 species
AUUGAACGCUGGCGGGAUGCUUUACACAUGCAAGUCGAGCGGCAGCGCGGGGCAACCUGGCGGCGAGCGGCGAACGGGUGAGUAAUGCAUCGGAACAUGUCCAUGGAUGGGGGAUAGCCCGGCGAAAGCCGGAUUAAUACCGCAUGAGCCCGAGAGGGGAAAGAGGGGGACCGCAAGGCCUCACGUCGAUGGGUUGGCCGAUGCCCGAUUAGCUAGUUGGUGAGGUAAUGGCUCACCAAGGCGAUGAUCGGUAGCUGGUCUGAGAGGAUGAUCAGCCACACUGGGACUGAGACACGGCCCAGACUCCUAGGGGAGGCAGCAGUGGGGAAUUUUGGACAAUGGGGGCAACCCUGAUCCAGCCAUUCCGCGUGAGUGAAGAAGGCCUUCGGGUUGUAAAGCUCUUUUGUCCGGAGCGAAACGGGGCGCGUGAAUAUCGCGCUCUACUGACGGUACCGGAAGAAUAAGCACCGGCUAACUACGUGCCAGCAGCCGCCGCAG